AGUGAACGCUGGCGGCGUGCUUAACACAUGCAAGUCGAACGAGAACGGGUUAUAGCUUGCUAUAAUUGUCAGCUAAGUGGCGCACGGGUGAGUAAUGUAUAGGUAAUAUGCCUCUUACUAAGGGAUAACAAAUGGAAACGCUUGCUAAUACCUUAUACUCCUUAUUAACAUAAGUUAAUAAGGGAAAGAUUUAUUGGUAAGAGAUUAGCCUGUAUUGUAUCGGUUGGUUGGUGGGGUAAUGGCUUACCAAGACUAUGACACAUAACUGGUUCGAGAGGAUAAUCAGUCACACUGGAACUGAGACACGGUCCAGACUCCUACGGGAGGCAGCAGUGGGGAAUAUUGCACAAUGGACGAAAGUCUGAUGCAGCAACGCCGCGUGGAGGAUGACACAUUUCGGUGCGUAAACUCCUUUUAUAUGAGAAGAUAAUGACGGUAUUAUAUGAAUAAGCACCGGCUAACUCCGUGCCAGCAGCCGCCGUAA
rnacentral:rRNA from 1 species